rnacentral:rRNA from 1 species
CAGUAGCCGCGGUAAUACGGAGGGUGCAAGCGUUAAUCGGAAUUACUGGGCGUAAAGCGCACGCAGGCGGUCUGACAAGUCAGAUGUGAAAUCCCCGGGCUUAACCUGGGAACUGCAUUUGAAACUGUCAGGCUGGAGUCUUGUAGAGGGGGGUAGAAUUCCAGGUGUAGCGGUAAAAUGCGUAGAGAUCUGGAGGAAUACCGGUGGCGAAGGCGGCCCCCUGGACAAAGACUGACGCUCAGGUGCGAAAGCGUGGGGAGCAAACAGGAUUAGAUACCCGCGUAGUCCCUGUCUCUUAUAC